rnacentral:rRNA from 1 species
UACGUAGGGGGCUAGCGUUGUCCGGAAUCAUUGGGCGUAAAGAGCGUGUAGGCGGUCCGGUAAGUCCGCUGUGAAAGUCGGGGGCUCAACCCUCGAAUGCCGGUGGAUACUGUCGGGCUAGAGUACGGAAGAGGCGAGUGGAAUUCCUGGUGUAGCGGUGAAAUGCGCAGAUAUCAGGAGGAACACCAAUUGCGAAGGCAGCUCGCUGGGACGUGACUGACGCUGAGACGCGAAAGCGUGGGGAGCAAACAGG